rnacentral:rRNA from 1 species
UACGUAGGGAGCAAGCGUUGUCCGGAUUCACUGGGUGUAAAGGGUGCGCAGGCGGUUUGGCAAGUCAGAGGUGAAAUCUCACAGCUUAACUGUGAAACUGCCUUUGAUACUUCCAAUCUUGAGUUAAAGAGAGGUUGAUGGAAUUUCAGGUGUAGCGGUGAAAUGCGUAGAUAUCGAGAGGAACACCUGCGGCGAAGGCGGGUAGCUGGGCCGACACUGACGCUGAGGCGCGAAAGCCAGGGGAGCGAACGGG